rnacentral:lncRNA from 1 species
GGGAGGGAGAGAGAGAGAGAGAGGGAGAGAGGGAGAGAGAAGAGAGUGCAUUUCAUUCUGCCUGAUGCCCAUGGCAGUGAGAAGAGGGCCUUGAAUUCCGUGGAAGUGGAGUAGCAGAUGCUUGUGAGCCACCAUGUGGGUGCUGACAACUGUACCCAGGCCCUCUGCAAGAGCAGCAAGUGUGCCCAACUAUGGGCUCCUCUCACCAGUCCCCUAAGACUUUUCUUCUUUUUUUUUUUUAAGAUUUUAUUUAUUUAUUAUAUGUACACUGUAGCUAUCUUCAGACAUUUCAGAAGAGGGCAUCAGAUCUCGUUACAGAUGAUUGUGAAUCACAAUGUGGUUGCUGGGAUUUGAACUGAGCCACCCUCCCCCUUUGUUUGGUUUCGUUUCCUUUCAUAUGGGGUUUUUGUUUGUUUGUUUUUUGUUUUUCGAACGGGUUUCUCUUUGUAGCCCUGCCUGUCCUGGAACUUACUCUGUAGACCAGGCUGGCCUUGAACUAAAAAACCUGCCUGCCUCUGCCUCCCAAGUGCUGGGAUUAAAGGCGUGCACCACCACUGCCUACCCCUAAAAUAUUUUCGAAAGGAGUUUAGAAAACUGUAAUCUGUUGAGGUUAUACAUUUAUACAUGUGGAAUGCUCUAGAAAAUCCUUAAAGGGUAGUAACAGUGAUCAGUUUUCAUCAGUAAGACAGACUUUUUUCUUCAUUGACUUUUUAUUUUCUAUUUUAAAACUGAGAAAUUAUUACAAUGUUGAGGGAAAAAAUGCUUUAAUACUAAAAAAAAAAAAAAACAAAGAAAAACACUGAAGACUGUGUGUGUGUGUGUGUGUGUGUGUGUGAGAGAGAGAGAGAGAGACAGAGAGAGAGAGAGAGACACUCUGAUCUUAUGAGGCAGUAUAUUCAGAGGCACAUACUUUCAGGACUCUUCAUUAAGGCUCUAAUCCUAUUUCUCUCACCGCAGUGCAUGUUAUACCACUAUGGGCCACUAGAGGAGGAUAACUUCAAAUGAGACUACCUUUCUGCUCCCUUAUUUUUAGUUAACAACAUUGUUCUUCGUUGUACUGGCAGUUGAUCCCUGACUCUUUCUUACUAGAUCCCAGAAGCACCCACAGUAGUACCAGCAGUGCCUCCUUGGCAAUGGGACAUAAGUCUGUGACACGCUGGGUCUUCAUGCUUAAUCACGUAAGGUGGACUGGGAUGAAGAAUUCCGGAAGUUCACAGGGAACCAAGCGUAGGUAGCACUGUUGCUUCUGAACCAACUGGAGAGCCUAAGACAAUGACAACUGGAGAGCCUAAGACAAUGACAAGACGGGCUCAAGUCCAAACCAGAGCUGCCGGGGUAACUACAAACGCUUCACUAGCUUGUUAGAAUUUCCCACACACAGGGGCUCAAAACACAACAUUGUGGGUUGCAGAAUUGUAACUAAAGUAGCAUUUGUGUGCUCAGACGCCUCAUAUGCAAAGAUGAUUAGUUACAAGAAAGACUUUGCACCUUGGUAUGGAGACCACGUACUAGGACUUAUGGAAAGCUGAGCUCUUGGGACUGCCUAUCUGCCUGUGUCUGAAGAGACUGAUAUGAAGACCCUACAGUAAGCUCAAGGCCCACCCCAGCUGCUUCUCAUUACCUCUAGGACUCUAUCUAGAUGCAGGUUUGGAUUUGUUCUGAGGAACCAGGUACAAAGCCUGGCACAAAAGGAAAUAGCUUAUACUCCAAAGUAAUUGCAAAAUGUUGCUCAAUUUUAGUGACAGAAACUCAAGUAACACUGAUUUAUUAGACUAGAGAAAAUAGAUACAAGGCAGUGAACUAGAUAAAAUGUGCUGAUAUGGAAGGAUCUGGAAGGCAAAAGUUGUCUAUGUUCUUUGCUGAUUGAAGAGAACCAGCUGGAACCUACAUUCAGUCAGUCAGGCUAACUGCCAGAAUCGGGUUAAUGAAGAGGGUAAGAUCCAAAGACUUAGGGAAUUGGAAUGUGGUCUGAGUGUUCAACUCCAAGGGUGUAGCCUUCAAGAGAGUUCAGACACAACUCCCCGUGCUGAGGCACUGAGAAAUGUGUCAAUGAGAGGGUGACAGUGUUCUGUGACGUCUGUCUUCAGUAGGUCGAGUGGUAGUAACCGGUACUGCUACAGAACUGAGCUCCCGAGGUUCAGUGGGAGCUCAGCUUCAGUCUCCCAUAGAGACAAUGGUCGGUAGGCAGUGGUUGGCUAUAAGAAACAAAGUUGCUGCAUUGUUUUGACCACUGGUAGCUGAUAGAUCAAGGUGUCUGGAGGAACUAAAUAGGCCACAGCCUAUUAAAUCAUUAUUUUGUCUUUUAUAGGGACUAGGAAACUGGUUUUAGCACCAAUGUAGAGAAAUAGUCUUAAUUUCCAUAUUUAAGUUGAACAAGAUAGACUCUUAGAUGAGCAAAGGACAGUGUUGUUCAUCUCUGUCAUACACAGUAACAAGAAAUUAAAGAUUUAUAAACUUUGUUUGUGUCUGAUCCUUGCCAUCCCCAAACAUUGCACCAUGGUAGUUGAGAAAACAGUGGAAGCAAGAAGUCCAGUCUCUGAUCUUUCCACACAAUCUGGGAUUACCCAGAAUAUUUUCCCUGGGAGCUGGAAUUCAUUAUCAGCAAAAGCUGGUGCUGGAAGUCCUCUUACGGCUCAGACGAAGAUGGAACUUCCAUUAUACUCUACUGGACAAAACAAG